rnacentral:misc_RNA from 1 species
GAUCAUUACCGAGUUAUACAACUCAUCAACCCUGUGAACAUACCUAAAACGUUGCUUCGGCGGGAACAGACGGCCCCGUAACACGGGCCGCCCCCGCCAGAGGACCCCCUAACUCUGUUUCUAUUAUGUUUCUUCUGAGUAAAACAAGCAAAUAAAUUAAAACUUUCAACAACGGAUCUCUUGGCUCUGGCAUCGAUGAAGAACGCAGCGAAAUGCGAUAAGUAAUGUGAAUUGCAGAAUUCAGUGAAUCAUCGAAUCUUUGAACGCACAUUGCGCCCGCCAGUAUUCUGGCGGGCAUGCCUGUUCGAGCGUCAUUACAACCCUCAGGCCCCCGGGCCUGGCGUUGGGGAUCGGCGAGGCGCCCCCUGCGGGCACACGCCGUCCCCCAAAUACAGUGGCGGUCCCGCCGCAGCUUCCAUUGCGUAGUAGCUAACACCUCGCAACUGGAGAGCGGCGCGGCCACGCCGUAAAACACCCAACUUCUGAAUGUUGACCUCGAAUCAGGUAGGAAUACCCGCUGAACCUAAGCAUAUCA